UACAGAGGUCUCAAGCGUUGUUCGGAUUCAUUGGGCGUAAAGGGUGCGUAGGUGGCGCUGUAAGUCAGGUGUGAAAUUUCGGAGCUCAACUCCGAAACUGCAUUUGAUACUGCGGUGCUUGAGGACUGGAGAGGAGACUGGAAUUCACGGUGUAGCAGUGAAAUGCGUAGAGAUCAUGAGGAAGACCAGUGGCGAAGGCGGGUCUCUGGACAGUUCCUGACACUGAGGCACGAAGGCCAGGGGAGCAAACGGG
rnacentral:rRNA from 1 species